GAUGAACGCUGGCGGCGUGCUUAACACAUGCAAGUCGAACGGAAAGGCCGAAGCUUGCUUCGGUACUCGAGUGGCGAACGGGUGAGUAACACGAGGGUGAUCUGCCCUGUACUUCGGGAUAAGCUUGGGAAACUGGGUCUAAUACCGGAUAUGACGAUCUCUUGGAUGGGGUUGUGGAAAGCUUUUGCGGUAUGGGAUGAGCUCGCGGCCUAUCAGCUUGUUGGUGGGGUAAUGGCCUACCAAGGCGUUGACGGGUAGCCGGCCUGAGAGGGUGUACGGCCACAUUGGGACUGCGAUACGGCCCAGACUCCUACGGGAGGCAGCAGUGGGGAAUAUUGCACAAUGGGCGCAAGCCUGAUGCAGCGACGCCGCGUGGGGGAUGACGGCCUUUGGGUUGUAAACUCCUUUCGCAAUCGACGAAGCCUUUUGGUGACGGUAGGUUGAGAAGAAGCACCGGCUAACUACGUG
rnacentral:rRNA from 1 species